rnacentral:rRNA from 1 species
UACGUAGGGUGCAAGCGUUAGUCGGAAUUACUGGGCGUAAAGCGUGCGCAGGCGGUUGUGCAAGACAGAUGUGAAAUCCCCGGGCUCAACCUGGGAAUUGCAUUUGUGACUGCACGGCUAGAGUGUGUCAGAGGGGGGUAGAAUUCCACGUGUAGCAGUGAAAUGCGUAGAGAUGUGGAGGAAUACCGAUGGCGAAGGCAGCCCCCUGGGAUAACACUGACGCUCAUGCACGAAAGCGUGGGGAGCAAACAGG